CCAAACGCGAUCGGACGGUCAGAUUUAGACACAAUCAACGGCUCAGAUCCUCUUCCUAUUUAAACGCGAUCGGACGGCACAGUAUCAUAUCGCGAUGAAUGAUCUAGAUUCACUCCUUAUUUAAUCGCGAUCGGACGGUUCAGAUCAAAUGCGAUGAACGGUCUAAAUUAAAAGAGGACGGAUAUAAAUAACCCUCUUCACAGCAAACCCUAACCCUAGCCACCAGACCCCCCCAC
rnacentral:lncRNA from 1 species